rnacentral:rRNA from 1 species
GUAACACGUAGUCAACCUGCCCUGGAGACAUGGACAACCCCGGGAAACUGGGAUUAAUCCGUGAUGGGUCAUCUCAUCUGGAAGGAGAGAUGGCUUAAAGGGAUGCGCGGGCUUCUUCUGCGUAUUUGCUCCAGGAUGGGACUGCGUCCGAUCAGGCUGUUGGCGGGGUAAUGGCCCACCAAGCCAGUAACCGGUACGGGCCUUGAGAGAGGUGGCCCGGAGAUGGACACUGAGAGAAGGGUCCAGGUCCUACGGGGCGCAGCAGGCGCGAAACCUUCGCAAUGCGCGCAAGCGUGACGAGGUUAAUCCGAGUGAUUUCCGCUGAGGAGACCUUUUGUCUGCUGUAAAUAGGCAGGCGAAUAAGGGGAGGGCAAGCCUGGUGUCAGCCGCCGCGGUAAUACCAGCUCCUCGAGUGGUCGGGGCGAUUAUUGGGCCUAAAGCAUCCGUAGCCGGUUCCGUAGGUCCUCUGUUAAAUCCAACCGCCCAACGGUUGACCUGCAGAGGAUACCGCGAGACU